rfam:Lactobacillus delbrueckii subsp. bulgaricus ATCC 11842 complete genome
AAAGUUAUCUCGAAAAGCAGAGUAGUCGGGUGACGAUCCUUUACAGAGAGGCGGCAGAUGGUGAAAGCCGCCAGGAGAGUUCCGGUGAACAUGUGCUUGGAAUGAUAUGCCGCGGUGAUAUUUAGCCGCUACCGGGGUUGCUCUCGUUAAACAAGCAAGCUGUUUCUAUUUAUCAGAGACAGCUGGUGAGAUUUAUUACGCAAGUAAUGAAUGAACUAAAGGUGGUACCACGAGCGCUCGUCCUUUAU